GCCGUCGUUGGCCAGUGGCAGGCCCCUCGCGUCCUCUCAAGGGCGAAGAAAUCGAGGCUUACGGGAGCUACGGAGGUUCGAUUCCUCCCGACGGCG